UACGAAGGGGGCGAGCGUUAUUCGGAAUCACUGGGCGUAAAGCGUGCGUAGGCUGUUUUGUAAGUUGGGAGUGAAAGCCCAGGGCUCAACCCUGGAAUUGCUCUCAAAACUACAAGACUCGGAUUUGGGAGAGGAUAGCGGAAUUGUCAGUGUAGCAGUGAAAUGCGUAGAUAUUGACAGGAACACCAGUGGCGCAAGCGGCUAUCUGGACCAACAUCGACGCUGAGGCACGAAAGCGUGGGGAUCAAACCGG
rnacentral:rRNA from 1 species